GACAGAUGGGAGACAUGGUGCAUGCAGGUAUUACUUGGCACUGAGGAAUCAGUGUGGGAGGGAUUCCUCCAGCUGGAAAUGGGAAACAGAGUAUAGGUAGUGUUGAGAUUGCCCAUCCAACCAGGAUCUUCACUACACCAGUGUGCUGUGUGGGAGGCAGGGGAAGGAGGGAGGAAGAAGGAAGAGUGGAGGCCCAGGGCAGUGAUCAGCUGAUACUGGGGGUUCCAGUGUCACCCCCUCUCCUUGUCUCCUCCCUGCUACCUGGGGCGCUGGCCAUCAAGAAAACAAUGCGCAACUACAGCUAGUGGUUACAGUGGAACAGAUGAUGCGGCUUGACAGAGCUGACCACAGCUGAUUGUUAGAGAGAUUUAUUCUGCAGCAUCAAAGUGUUCAACAGGCUGCCCUGAGUUAAUGUGAAACUGCUACAGUCCCCUAACAGCUAGAGAGACCUUCCGUAGUGUAACAGCUUCUGAGAUGAUGUCGGAAGCCAGAGCCCUAUAAUGGCAUUAUAACCUAAAAUGGUUGUACAGCAGCCAGUGUUGCCAAGAUGCUUCAACAGAUAAAUCCAUCAGCAGAGAAACAGUAAAACACAAUUCCCAUUGCGAGGUCCUGUCUUGUCAAGUUGAGCAAUGGAUGACAACACAUGAACAUGAUGAAUAUCUACCGACCAUACAUCACUGACCUGGCGGCAGGCUACCAUCAAAACAGACCAUUGAGAUAUGGACAUUUUCUGCCAAUUAGCAUGUCAAUAGCAUAAGCCACCUUAAUUUCAAUUCCAAAUUUUAUAUUCAAGUGACACCAUUUUGUAGACUUUUACAAUCCAUGUUCAUAUUUUGACAAACAUAGUUAACUAUUAAGGUAACUUUAUCCUUAAUAAACACAUCAUUUGUAUGGAAUCCUCUGUUAAUGUUAAGUUACAAAUUGUGUGUGUGUGUGUGUGUGUGU